AGCAGUAGCCACGGUAAUACAGAGGGUGCGAGCGUUAAUCGGAUUUACUGGGCGUAAAGCGUGCGUAGGCGGCUUUUUAAGUCGGAUGUGAAAUCCCUGAGCUUAACUUAGGAAUUGCAUUCGAUACUGGGAAGCUAGAGUAUGGGAGAGGAUGGUAGAAUUCCAGGUGUAGCGGUGAAAUGCGUAGAGAUCUGGAGGAAUACCGAUGGCGAAGGCAGCCAUCUGGCCUAAUACUGACGCUGAGGUACGAAAGCAUGGGGAGCAAACAGGAUUAGAUACCCGAGUAGUCCCUGUCUCUUAUAA
rnacentral:rRNA from 1 species